GAUGAACGCUGGCGGCGUGCCUAAUACAUGCAAGUAGAACGCUGAAGGAGGAGCUUGCUUCUCCGGAUGAGUUGCGAACGGGUGAGUAACGCGUAGGUAACCUGCCUGGUAGCGGGGGAUAACUAUUGGAAACGAUAGCUAAUACCGCAUAACAGUAGAUAUCGCAUGAUAUCUGCUUGAAAGGUGCAAUUGCAUCACUACCAGAUGGGCCUGCGUUGUAUUAGCUAGUUGGUGAGGUAACGGCUCACCAAGGCGACGAUACAUAGCCGACCUGAGAGGGUGAUCGGCCACACUGGGACUGAGACACGGCCCAGACUCCUACGGGAGGCAGCAGUAGGGAAUCUUCGGCAAUGGACGGAAGUCUGACCGAGCAACGCCGCGUGAGUGAAGAAGGGUUUCGGAUCGUAAAGCUCUGUUGUAAGAGAAGAACGAGUGUGAGAGUGGAAAGUUCACACUGUGACGGUAUCUUACCAGAAAGGGACGGCUAACUACGUG
rnacentral:rRNA from 1 species